UACGAAGGGGACUAGCGUUGUUCGGAUUUACUGGGCGUAAAGCGCGCGUAGGCGGAUCGCUAAGUCAGGGGUGAAAAUCCCAGGGCUCAACCCUGGAACUGCCUUUGAUACUGACGAUCUGGAGAUCGGGAGAGGUUGGUGGAAUUCCGAGUGUAGAGGUGAAAUUCGUAGAUAUUCGGAGGAACACCAGAAGCGAAGGCGGCCAACUGGCCCGAUACUGACGCUGAGGCGCGAAAGCGUGGGGAGCAAACAGGG
rnacentral:rRNA from 1 species